UUUGCGGGAAAUCGCUUUUUUGCGGUUUUGGCGGAAAAACGCGUUUUUUCGGUUUUGGCGGGAAAACGCGUUUUUGUGGUUUUUGUGGGAAAACGCAUUUUUGGGGUUUUGGCGGGAAAACGCAUUUUUGCGGUUUUGGCGGAAAAACUUUUUUUCGCGAUUUUAGCGGAAAAAACUUAUUUUUGCGGUUUUAGUGGAAAACGCAUUUUACCACCGAAUAAAUGAUUAAACUUUUGAGAAACUCAUGAUUUUCCAAUUCUAUCAAACCUUAGAAUUGAGUGGUUUACUCAUAGUUUUCUUAAUUGAAAACAAAAUGGGUCAGAGUUGACCCAACCCAAUAAACCCAUUAACUUGCUAACCCAUUAACUUGUUAACCCAUUAACCUAUUAACCCAUUAACAUGUUAACCCAUUAACCCAUUGGAUCAAAAAUAAACAGUUCAUUUGGGUUAAUGGGUCAACUUGGGUUGAGUCAACCCAUGGGUCAUGACCCAUUUUGACACCCCUAGUUGUACGAAAUGAAAUAAUUUCAUAGAUAUAUAAUUUUAUAAAUUUUAGUUAGCAUAUAUUUUCAUGAUGCUAUAUAUUAUUUCUCAUGGAUCUAUGCUAUUAUAAAUAGAGCUUCAUAUGCAUACAUAUUCUGUAUAUUAAGUUUUGCCAAAGAGAUUGGAUUGCCAACUCUAUAUAUCUUCCAUUGUAUUUAAAAAUAAUGACAUAUUUAAAAAAAAUAUAAUAAAAGUCAGAAUAUAAUCCAUAAGUAAUAUAAAUUAAGAAAUACUAUUUUCGAUAAAGAAAGCAAAUUCCAUUAAAAACCUGCAAACAAUUAUUAAAUUGUGUAAGCAGUUAUACGAAAUAAAAUAAUUUCAUAGAUUUCUAAAUUUCUAAAUUUUAUUGAAUAGAAAAUAAUAUUAAAUUUACAUACCAUCAUCGAAAUAGUGUAAAAACUGGAUUGUAGUCAACUAAAAUGGAGAGUUUAGUUUAUAUACCAGAAUACUAUCAAUGAUCUCUCUUAUGGUUCUCUUCUCAUUAAGAACAAAAAACUUGGCACGACAGAUGUAGCAGUACCAACAGACCAUUGAGUACUAUCGUUGUUUGUAAGAGUAAGCACCUACAAUAUAUAGAUUUUAUUAACAUGUUGUACAUAUAAUUAUUUUAGAAAGAUAAAUGUAUUAUAUACCUUUCCACUCUUUAAUAGAAGAGAACUAACACAAAUAAUCAUUGUGGACAUGUUACUCAUACUAUAAUCAUAUACUUGUUUAGCAUAACGAUCCUACAGAGUACACAUCAUCUUCACAUUACUGUAUAAUAUAAACUUAAGUUAAUAAAUCUAAUAUACAUAUUUAGGUAGCAAAUAAGAAAUGGUAAAAGUACUUAAGCUUACUUUUGGUCACCUAACUCAAUCAAUAGCCUCAUGUUAUUUUUUCCUUUUAUCAUUUUGUUUUCAAGAGAACCGAAGUUAACUAUUUGACCAAUAACAUCUACAUUCCAAAAUAAAAAUAAUUAAAUUAACACAAAUAAUACAAAACCAAAAGAAUAUCUAAACAUUACAAAUUCAAUUAAGUAGGUAUAAUAUUAAAGUUAUUUAAUAAACAGAUUAAUAGCCUUAAAAUCAUAUAUAAAUUAUUAGUGCAUGAACAAUUCCCAGUUGAAAAUUACUUACCAACCAAGCGGUUGUUAUCAGCUUUUCCACCAGGAAUUUCAGUGUAAUCAGCCAAAUACUUCUCGGGAACUUCACUUGGAAAAUCAUUUGGUUUUGCAACAAAAGUCGCGUGGAAGAACCCAAUUUUGUACGGAUGAGAGCUUGUCCGAUAAUCACCAAUAGCAUCGUACACUUUGAAUAACUGGACAACCUUCAAAUUUUUUGAUGAGCUGUUCACAAACUGAAGCAUGAAAUUUUGUCCCUGAUCGAAUAUAUGAAAGUUAUGAGUUAGACAAAUAAAUUAUAAGAGUUGACGGAAAGCAGAAUAAGUAGUUAUGAAACACUAUAAAAAAAAAAUUGUUCAUUGUAAAGUAAAAUAAAUAUAUGACGAUUCUGAGUUUUAAAAAAUGUAGUAAUAAAAACAAAUACCAUUUCGAUGGUGUUGCCGGAUUCUUGGUUAUAAUUUCUCCACAAGCGAAGAAUCUGUACUUCAAUACGCCAUGUAUCUUUAGACGGGUUUUUAAAAAUUGUUAGAAAAAGAGAAUAGUUGUAUUGUAAGAUGUUAGACAUUUGGGGUCUCAGUUAUAUAUAUAGUCCACCUUCCACGUUAGACAUUUAUUAGGGGAUAUUUAACAUAAUAAAUGAUGUUUUCGAAAUGAUUUUUAUCAAGAAAGAAAUUAAAAUUAUAUUGUCAUAAGAUGAAAUGCAAUAAACACAAUACCAACUUGCGCAAGUAAUACAUAUUCAAAAAGGUUAAAUUAUUAAAAGCGAGCUAACAAAUUAGAAUGCAUUAACUAUUUCCAACUUGCGCAAGUAAUAGGAGAAUUAAGAAAAAAGGUAAAGUUAUAAAUAAACGUGCAAAAAAUUAUAAACAUUAAGGUUACUUAGGUAAGUUAUUAAAAACAAUAAGGUAAAUUACAUUUAGACAAUGCAAUAAAUAUUAGCAACUUGCGCAAGUAAUAGAAAAUUAAGGUAAGUUAUUAUAGACAUUACAAUUAAUUAAAACAUCAAUGUAAAUCACAUUUUAAAGAUCCAUGUCUACAAUAUAAUUAAUUUUAUAAAUUUAUUUAUAAUUUAAUAAAUGAUUUAUAAAGCAUGCAUGAAAUUUAUUAGACAUUAAUAGUUAUUAUGAUACUUUAUAUACAAUCUGGGCGGCAACAAGAUCAAUCAUAAUUCACAUAGAUCUAUAUGUAUACUGCUAAUUAAUUAAUUAAUAAGUAUCAAAAAUAAACGGACACCUCUUUCGUUGUAAGCCUCUUUCUCCGACCGAGAGAGGUCGGAAUAGAGAACGGCGAGGACGUGGUAACCCUAUGGGUGUACAACGCCCUGAUCCCAUGCCCCGAGUCUUUCCCAUGACUAACUCUGCCUCCUAAACAAACUGAGCAAGUCGGAAACCCUCUAUAUAUACAAAACAUUUUGGCCUAUUCCCAGGUAUCAAUAUCACUAAAAGGGGAUCAUUCCCAUUUUACGCCCUUAAUGAAAAUUGCAUUUUCUCAAAAAUACCCUUACUUUUACAAAUGAUUAAUAAAAUUCAUUAAUGGCAUUUAAGUCUUUUGGGUUUGUGCUUACAUAUACACAUAAAUGGAUCUAUAAAUAAUAGGCCUAUAUAUAUUUAAAAGAUAUACUAACUUUAAAUUUAAUAUAAAUAUAAAUAUAUUAUGAACUAUAAAUAAAUUAAUAAACAUGAAAAUAUUAUUUUCUUAAAUAUACGUAUCAAUAUUUAAAAUAGAUCAUUUGAAUAAUAUACAGAUUUUCAAUAAAAACCAAAAUCAUAUAUCCUACACCAUAUAUCAUAUACAUAUUUGAAUAUCAUUUUUUCCAUAUAUAAUGUCAUUUUAUACAUAAUUUUGAUAUGGCAAUUACGAGUAUUCAAGAAUAUUUUAAAAAUUAUCUUAAAAUCAAAAUUUAAAUCUAAAAAAAACACAAACAUAUAAUAGGUUAUUAUAGAGGUGUCAAAAUGGGUUUAAAUUAAUGGAUUGAUCCAAACCAAACCAAUCCAUGGUUUUAAUGAGUCAAUAAUUUGGAUGUUAAUGGAUUAAUGGUUUUUAUGGGCUAAUGAGUUUAGUGAGUUGGAUUCAUAUUGGUUUGGAUAAAAAUGGGUUUAUGGAUUAUCCAAUCCAACCCAGUUUUUCUCACAUAAUUCCUCUCAUUUUUUUUUCGUUUCUCGCUAGCGAACUCUUUGAUCUCUGUUCAACACAUACACCAUUGGCAUCGAUCACCACAUCAAUCACACCUUUUGGGUCAUUGGUCACAACACAACAACGUCACCUUCGUUGCGAGUUCAGGAGAAGGGGCUAAGGCGUUGUUCACCGUUCUUGGAACGCUCAUCAAUACCAGGGGAUGAUGCUGCUACUGAUUUGAGAUCUAAUGAAUGGGAGGUUGUUCCUGAUAUAUGGAGAUCAUCUGCGGAUAAGUACGGUGACAGAGUUGCUGUGCUUGAUCCCUUUCGUAUGGUUUCGUUUUCAUCUGUUUGUAAAGUGUUGGAAUGUUUCUACCAUAACAAGUUAGAAAAAAAAGCCUUUCACAAAGACUUUAAAGCUAGUCUAAUGAAGAUACUCUGUUUUAUUUUUUAUGUUUUAUAAUUUUGUUAGUUUUUUUUUUUACUUUUAAAUUUGCAUAAUCAAAUUUUAGACAGUGUUAGUAAUAUUUUUAUUUAAAAUUUACAUAAUUAUUUACUUA